rnacentral:sRNA from 1 species
CCUCCUCGAUCUGCUGCGGGCAGAUGAAGUGGAUGUGGCUGUCGAAACCGCCGGCGGUGACGAUCUUGCCCUCAGCCGCGAUCGCCUCGGUGCCGGGGCCGAUAAUGAUAUCGACGCCCGGCUGGGUGUCGGGAUUGCCGGCCUUGCCAAUGGCGACGAUCCGGCCAUCCUUCAGGCCGAUAUCGGCCUUGUAGAUGCCAGUAUGGUCGAGAAUAAGGGCGUUGGUGAUCACGGUGUCGACCGCGCCAUCCGCUCUGGAAUGCUGCGACUGGCCCAUGCCGUCGCGG